AUACGGAGGGCGCAAGCGUUACUGGGAAUCACUGGGCGUAAAGCGCGCGCAGGCGGUCUUUUAAGUUGGAUGUGAAAGCCUACGGCUCAACCGUAGAACUGCAUCCAAAACUAUUAGACUAGAGUGUGGGAGAGGAAGAUGGAAUUAGUUGUGUAGGGGUAAAAUCCGUAGAGAUAACUAGGAAUACCAAAAGCGAAGGCAAUCUUCUGGAACACUACUGACGCUGAGGCGCGAAAGCGUGGGGAGCAAACGGGAUUAGAUACCCUUGUAGUCC
rnacentral:rRNA from 1 species